rnacentral:tRNA from 1 species
GGUAUAUGGCUCAGUGGUAGAGUGCUUGCCUUGCAUGCAUGAAGCCCUGGGUUCGAUUCCUCAGCACCA